CAAAUAUUAACACUUAAAGUGUAGGCCUAAUACUACAAAUAUUAGGCAUAUUGAGCAUUUGUGCUUCUAACAUUAGUUAAUCUAUUUGCUUAGAAAUAUCCCUUUUUAUUUGCUAUUUAUACAAUAAACACAAUUGAAGAAUGUAGGGAGAUCUUUCUGUAGGCCUAUUUCAAUAUCUUACGAUAUUGAAUAUUUAAUGUCCGUUUCUUUUAUGGCCAAACACUGAUUGAAAUAUGCAUUAUAAUGCGCUGGAUUAUAUAGAGGAAAUCCACAUUUGAGUCUGGCCAAUCUCUGCAAACUGUUCUAUUUACACAACAGUAGCGUGCUUCCCAAAAAACGGUCGGUGACUGUUUUGAUAAAAGGGGUGACCCGCGAGGUUGGCUGAUGCCUCCCCUGCUCUCUCUGUACACAACCUCGCGACCCUUGGCACAGCCAGAGAAAACACAGUCUGCACGCAAUGCCGGGUCUGUGGCACAAUGAUUAACCCGUAAAUGUGCUGUCAAUCCGCUUCGUAGCCUGCAAAGCCCGCUGAGAGUUGGAGGGGGUAGACGAGUUUGAGUCAGCGUAAAAAAGCGCAUGGCAGCUUCGUGCGUGACAGAAAGAUGGAUGACCGAGAGAUUUCCGCACGCAACAAUUGUUUUUCCCGGGGCUGCUGCCUUCAAUUGACUGACCAAGCAGAUUUAGGAUUGUCCCGAAGACCAUGCCCACCCCUCCAUGCCGGAGCUCCGCUUUCUCACUCGAACUGCAGGAGCAGGGACGCUGCGCUGAGGUGCAGGGGCGUGCUGACAGAAUACUCCCCCACCCCCACACCCCAGCAUCCUUAACCAAGGGCUGGGGGAGGCGAGGGCUUGGCCAAAACGCUCCCACGCAACUUGGCCAAUCAUUAACUUGACUGCUAACAGGUACACGCACGCAAUGGCAUUUGACAGUUUUUAUCACGACUUGUUUCAAAACAGACCCCGCUCAGAAUGGUGUGUUGUAGAUGCUGAGGUCUAGAAGACUCGAUUCUGGGUCUUAAUACAUAUAACUUACAUUUGAGUAAGUUCCAAUUGGGAUAUUGAUUAACACAACAGGGAUCCGAAGUCAAACACUUUGGAUAGCUUACACAAGCAGACAAGACAAUAUAGUCUCUUAUCUCAAUCGAAUGUUUUAUCCUCCAUGACACACUUGAUAGGUUGGCUACAUUUGUUUCCUAUAAGUUAAUAAGACGCACACGUCUUCCCAUUGUCCUUAUAUGCACCACUGUUAUACUGUUGACAGGUUGGUUGAGUGAGAUUUAUCAAACUGUCAAAGAUGAGUCUCUUGAUUAAAAGUACUUCGGGGCUGUAAAUUCUCCCGCUUGGGAUAGGCUACACCUUUGCACGCUAUCGAAAUCUGUUGCAAUGAGUAGGCCUAAAGGAAAGAUUGCCAAAGGGUUUAUGACUUAAUAACCAAUGCGUAACAGUUUCCUGUUAAUUAAUUUAUGGAACAAGUAUUCAAAGAAGAAAUGUUGAUGUUUGCUAAUAAUAAAAUAUAAAAAUGAAUACCACUGGAAACAGACUAGACACUGAUGGUACAUUUACUUUUGAAAAUAUUGUGGGCCCAAAGUGAUUAACCUUGUGUCCUUAAAUUAGUUGUGGAAGAGUUCAUGUUCAAUAGAUCAUUGAGAAUAAAUAUUUGGAUCAGGCCCUAAAAUACUGUCAUCCUUAUACAAUGUGCUUUAUAUAACUGUUUUCAUGAAUAUGUUCCAUAUACUUUUAAGAUAAAUAGUUCAUAACAUGAUAAGGAGUGGAUGAAUUGCCUUUUUUUCAAUAUGGCUUAUUAGCCUACUGCCUACCAUAGCCUGCAAUAUUAAGCCCAAUACCAUAACAUUCAUGGUAAUAAAUUAAUAAUAAAAUACAUAUAAAUAUUUAGGCCUAAACAAAUAAAUAAACAAAAAAUACAAAUAUAAUUACCACAUCUAUAACAUUAUAAGUAAAAUAUGUAGUAUGAUGAAUAGGUAUGAUAGUGAUUAUAGGUCUACAUCUACAUAGUUGUGCUUAUGAUUAUGAUGAUAUAUUAUGAUUAAAAGUUAGUCUGAUUGUAUUAUUGUAUUGUUAUUACACAAUAACACAUUUAACAUGUGCAAAUAUAAUCGGUGAUCAUUCCACAAAUCAAUGUAUUCCUCUUACCUAACUGGCUUCUUCUGUAUAGUGUGUUUUAUAACUCCCUCCAACAGGCUAAUGAACAUCUGAAAAGAGACUCAUCCAAUCAUUCUGAUAUGAACCUAAAAUCAAAUCUAAAAAUGUUUAAAAAUUCAAAAUGUAAAAAAAGAACGUGGAAUAGCCUACUGAGAAUGACUUGUUCGAAAAUUAAAUAUGCAGUCUAUUAUAUUUCUCUAUGGUUAGACGUUCUAAAAUAUUUUUAUAACAAACUAUAUGACAUUUUAUGUAUAUCUUUUUUCAAUAGGACCCAUCAAUGAUAUAUCAGUGAAAGCAUGCACCUCUAGAAAAAAAUCUUGCUCCUUAGACGUUUCUUUUUAUUAUAAAGGCAAGCUUACAUUGUAUAUACACUACUCAUUGAUGUUUCCGCUUGAUAUU
ensembl:lncRNA